rnacentral:rRNA from 1 species
ACGGGGUGCAGCAGGCGCGAACACUUUACAAUGCGGGAAACCGCGAUAAGGGAACCCCGAGUGCCAGCAUCAAAUGUUGGCUGUCCAGAUGAUUAAAAAUCAUUUGUUAGCAAGGGCCGGGCAAGACCGGUGCCAGCCGCCGCGGUAACACCGGCGGCCCGAGUGGUAGCCGUUUUUAUUGGGUCUAAAGGGUCCGUAGCCGGCCUGAUAAGUCCUUUGGGAAAUCUGGCAGCUUAACUGUCAGGCUUCUAAGGGAUACUGUCAGGCUUGGGACCGGAAGAGGUAAGGGGUACUCCAGGGGUAGGGGUGAAAUCUUGUAAUCCCUGGGGGACCAUCUGUGGCGAAGGCGCCUUACCAGAACGGGUCCGACGGUGAGGGACGAAAGCUAGGGGAGCAAACCGGAUUAGAUACCCGGGUAGUCCUAGCUGUAAACGAUGCUCGCUAGGUGUCAGACACGGUGCGACCGUGUUUGGUGCCGCAGGGAAGCCGUUAAGCGAGCCACCUGGAAGUACGUCGCAAGGC